AGAGUUCACAGGUGAUCAAAGGGUCCAGGUAGAAAGAGCAGGGUCACCUGUACCCAGCUGUGUGUCUCUGAAGAGUGAUUUUUCAAUGCCACUUCCACAAGAUUUCAGAGGAGAGUUCACAGGUGAUCAAAGGGUCCAGGUAGAAAGAGCAGGGUCACCUGUACCCAGCUGUGUGUCUCUGAAGAGUAAUCGUUCAAUGCCACUUCCACGCAAUUUCAGAGGAGAGUUCACAGGUGAUCAAAGGUAAUUAAAUAGGCUUAAAUUGACGCUACUAUUUAACCCCUUAACCCCAAGCAUUUAAAAAGGCAAUUUCCACCUGGUUUGCACUGCUCUUAAAGGUCCAGGAAACUAGGCUGUUGUUAUAUUCCCCAGAAGUGACGACAGAUUUUCUUCUUAAUGCUUCUUUCACGUUUUUAACCGAAUUAGAACCAUUGAAUUGUAAUAGACACGGUUAGAUUAUUGCGACCUGUUUAGCAGACAUGGGCAGGUUGGGUGUGUAUCCUGCGCUCAUUAACAUUCAUACUUGUAAGACAGGUCAUAUGUAAACCAUUUCUCAUCGCUAGCUUGGUUAGAGCUGGUUAGAGCAGAUUGUCCCAUGCAGUACCCGACAAAAUGAAAGAAAGCAACAUAAACUAGGCGUUCCCAUCGUAUGAUUAAACCUGAAGAUUAUUCAACUUGUAAUAGCAUUGU